UAACACGUGGAUAACCUACCUAUAAGACUGGGAUAACUUCGGGAAACCGGAGCUAAUACCGGAUAAUAUUUUGAACCGCAUGGUUCAAAAGUGAAAGACGGUCUUGCUGUCACUUAUAGAUGGAUCCGCGCUGCAUUAGCUAGUUGGUAAGGUAACGGCUUACCAAGGCAACGAUGCAUAGCCGACCUGAGAGGGUGAUCGGCCACACUGGAACUGAGACACGGUCCAGACUCCUACGGGAGGCAGCAGUAGGGAAUCUUCCGCAAUGGGCGAAAGCCUGACGGAGCAACGCCGCGUGAGUGAUGAAGGUCUUCGGAUCGUAAAACUCUGUUAUUAGGGAAGAACAUAUGUGUAAGUAACUGUGCACAUCUUGACGGUACCUAAUCAGAAAGCCACGGCUAACUACGUGCCAGCAGCCGCGGUAAUACGUAGGUGGCAAGCGUUAUCCGGAAUUAUUGGGCGUAAAGCGCGCGUAGGCGGUUUUUUAAGUCUGAUGUGAAAGCCCACGGCUCAACCGUGGAGGGUCAUUGGAAACUGGAAAACUUGAGUGCAGAAGAGGAAA
rnacentral:rRNA from 1 species